AUUGAACGCUGGCGGCAGGCCUAACACAUGCAAGUCGAGCGGGGUUUUCGGACCUAGCGGCGGACGGGUGAGUAAUGCGUAGGAAGCUGCCGAUAGAGGGGGAUACCAGUUGGAAACGACUGCUAAUACCGCAUAAUGUCUCCGGACCAAAGUGUGGGACCUUCGGGCCACAUGCUACCGGAUGCGACUACGUGGGAUGAGCUAGUUAGUGAGGUAAUGGCUCACCAAGGCGACGAUCUCUGGCUGGUUUGAGAGGAUGAUCAGCCACACUGGAACUGAGACACGGUCCAGACUCCUACGGGAGGCAGCAGUGGGGAAUAUUGGACAAUGGGCGCAAGCCUGAUCCAGCCAUGCCGCGUGUGUGAAGAAGGCCUUCGGGUUGUAAAGCACUUUCAGCGAGGAGGAAGGGGUGUGUGUUAAUAGUACACACCUUUGACGUUACUCGCAGAAGAAGCACCGGCUAACUCUGUGCCAGCCGCCGCAGUAACAC
rnacentral:rRNA from 1 species